rnacentral:rRNA from 1 species
AUUGAACGCUAGCGGGAUGCCUUACACAUGCAAGUCGAACGGCGUGGCGAACGGGUGAGUAAUGUAUCGGACCGUGCCCAGUAGCGGGGGAUAACUACGCGAAAUCGUAGCUAAUACCGCUUCCUAUUGCAACGGCCUAUAUCGGAUUAGCUAGUUGGUGGGGUAACGGUUCACCAAGGCGACGACCCGUAGCCGGGUUGAGAGGACGACCAGCAACACGGGGACUGAGACACGGCCCAGACUCCUGCGGGAGGCAGAAGUGGGGAAUUUUGGACAAUGGGGGAAACCCUGAUCCAGCCAUCCCGCGUGUGCGAUGAAGGCCUUCGGGUUGUAAAGUACUUUUGGCAGGAAAGCGGUACCUGCAGAAUAAGCACCGGCUAACUACGUGCCAGCAGCCGCGGUAAUAC